rnacentral:rRNA from 1 species
UUCCGGUUGAUCCUGCCGGACCUGACUGCUAUCGGAUUGAUACUAAGCCAUGUGAGUCAUUGUAGCAAUACAAGGCAGACGGCUCAGUAACACGUAGCCAAUCUAACCUAUGGACGGGGAUAACCUCGGGAAACUGAGGAUAAACCCCGAUAGAUCAUUAUGCCUGGAACGGUUUAUGGUCCAAAUGAUUCGUCGCCGUAGGAUGAGACUGCGGCCUAUCAGCUUGUUGGUGAGGUAAUGGCCCACCAAGGCUAUUACAGGUACGGGCUCUGAGAGGAGAAGCCCGGAGAUGGGUACUGAGACACGGACCCAGGCCCUAUGGGGCGCAGCAGGCGAGAAACCUUUGCAAUGUGCGCAAGCACGACAAGGUUAAUCCGAGUGAUUCCUGCUAAAGGAAUCUUUUGUUAGUCUUAAAAUCACUAUUGAAUAAGGGGUGGGCAAGUUCUGGUGUCAGCCGCCGCGGUAAAACCAGCACCUCAAGUGGUCAGGAGGAUUAUUGGGCCUAAAGCAUCCGUAGCCUGCUCUGUAAGUUUCCGGUUAAAUCCAUUAGCUCAACUAAUGGCCUGCCGGAGAUACUGCAGAGCUAGGAAGUGGGAGAGGUAGACGGUACUCGGUAGGAAGGGGUAAAAUCCUUUGAUCUAUUGAUGACCACCUGUGGCGAAGGCGGUCUACCAGAACACGUUCGACGGUGAGGGAUGAAAGCUGGGGGAGCAAACCGGAUUAGAUACCCGGGUAGUCCCAGCUGUAAACGAUGCAGACUCGGUGAUGCGCUGGCUUGUGGCCAGUGCAGUGCCGCAGGGAAGCCGUUAAGUUUGCCGCCUGGGAAGUACGUACGCAAGUAUGAAACUUAAAGGAAUUGGCGGGGGAGCAC